GGACAUGUCAUAACAGUUUCAUCUUAUAAUUAGGACCCCUGUGAUUGAAAUGAUGUGUUUUGCUUUUGAAAUUGCGUUUACUAUUACUUUGAAAAAAAAAACUAUUGAUUUGAUGCGUACCGAUUCUUCCAGUGAUGUGUUUUGUCUAUCUUGCAUGCAAUUUGAUGAUGAUGGUUCAGCAUAGCAUAGUUUAGUAGGUCUUUCGCUGCUGGGUGGUUGUACUCACCUUUUUUGGAGGCUAACAUUUCAGACUAGAAAAGAUGCCUCUGCUACCCACACCUCCUGUUGCAUUAUAUGGAU
rnacentral:lncRNA from 1 species